rnacentral:tRNA from 1 species
CGAGGCGUAGCGCAGUUGGUAGCGCGCAGCGUUCGGGACGCUGAGGUCGUGGGUUCGAGCCCCGUCGCCUCGACCA